rnacentral:rRNA from 1 species
UACGAAGGGGGCCAGCGUUGCUCGGAAUCACUGGGCGUAAAGCGCACGUAGGCGGAUUGUUAAGUCAGGGGUGAAAUCCUGGAGCUCAACUCCAGAACUGCCUUUGAUACUGAAGAUCUUGAGUUCGGGAGAGGUGAGUGGAACUGCGAGUGUAGAGGUGAAAUUCGUAGAUAUUCGCAAGAACACCAGUGGCGAAGGCGGCUCACUGGCCCGAUACUGACGCUGAGGCACGAAAGCGUGGGGAGCAAACAGG